rnacentral:piRNA from 1 species
AGCAAAUUAGUUAUGCCUGAAUGGAGG